CCUACGGGCGGCAGCAGUGGGGGAUAUUGCACAAUGGGGGAAACCCUGAUGCAGCGACGCCGCGUGGGUGAAGAAGCGCCUCGGCGCGUAAAGCCCUGUCAGCAGGGAAGAAAAUGACGGUACCUGAAGAAGACGCCCCGGCUAACUACGUGCCAGCAGCCGCGGUAAUACUUAGGGAGCAAGCGUUAUCCGGAUUUACUGGGUGUAACGGAGGCGCAGACGGGGAUGCCAGCCCGGAGUGAAAGCCCUGGGCCCAAACCCGGGACUGCUCUUGGAACUGCGUGGAUAGAGUGCAGGAGGGGCAGGCGGAAUGCCUGGUGUAGCGGUGAAAUGCGUAGAUAGCAGGAGGAACACCGAUGACGAAGGCAGCCUGCUGGACUGCAACUGACGUUGAGGCCCGAAAGCGUGGGGAGCAAACAGGAUUAGAUACCCGAGUAGUC
rnacentral:rRNA from 1 species